GGGGGUCUAGCUCAUAUGGUAGAGCGCUCGCUUCGCAUCGCCGCGUGAAUGCGAGAGGCACUGGGAUCGAUACCCAGGUCCUCCA